rnacentral:rRNA from 1 species
UACAGAUGGUGCAAGCGUUAAUCGGAAUUACUGGGCGUAAAGCGUGCGUAGGUGGUUUGCUAAGUCAGGUGUGAAAUCCCUGGGCUUAACCUGGGAACUGCAUUUGAUACUGGCAAACUAGAGUGUGGUCGAGGGUGGUGGAAUUCCCGGUGUAGCGGUGAAAUGCGUAGAUAUCGGGAGGAACAUCAGUGGCGAAGGCGGCCACCUGGACCAACACUGACACUGAGGCACGAAAGCGUGGGUAGCAAACAGG